UACGGAAGGCAGCAGUGGGGAAUAUUGCACAAUGGGUGCAAGCCUGAUGCAGCCAUGCCGCGUGUAUGAAAAAGGCCUUCGGGUUGUAAAGUACUUUCAGUCGUGAGGAAGGUGUUAAGGUUAAUAACCUUAGCAAUUGACGUUAGCGACAGAAGAAGCACCGGCUAACUCCGUGCCAGCAGCCGCGGUAAUACGGAGGGUGCGAGCGUUAAUCGGAAUUACUGGGCGUAAAGGGCACGCAGGCGGUUAAUUAAGUUGGAUGUGAAAUCCCCGGGCUUAACCUGGGAAUGGCAUUCAAGACUGGUUAGCUAGAGUCUUGUAGAGGGGGUAGAAUUCCAUGUGUAGCGGUGAAAUGCGUAGAGAUGUGGAGGAAUACCGGUGGCGAAGGCGGCCCCUGGACAAAGACUGACGCUCAUGUGCGAAAGCGUGGGGAGCAAACGAGGGAUAGAUACC
rnacentral:rRNA from 1 species